UAGCCUUGACUUCACAAGAGUAGACUGAUGAAUUCGAUGAUGCUAUGAUAAUGAAAUGAUGCAGUGAAGUGUAUGCGGAAUCCUCAUUGACACACAGUCUAAAAAAAAAUCCAGGAAAAAAAAACUAUACAUCACGAACUCCAUAAGAAUCCCGGGUGUGAUAUCAGAUGCACCAGAGUGGUAGACAGGUUCGCCCACCGUUGAUAUUAUUUGUGCUACUCACGGUUAGUUCGAAUUUGUAAUAAGUUCAGUGAUGUCGCAAUCAAGGACAAGAGGAUGAGAGAAUAGCUACGACAAUUGUAGCAAAUCAUUGGUCAUCUGUGACACAAAUAUUCUAUAAUGUUCAACAAAUUCAAUAUGGAAUUCGUAAAUUUUUUGAAGUGAUAUAUAUU
rnacentral:lncRNA from 1 species